UGAUGUUAGCGGCGGACGGGUGAGUAACACGUGGGUAACCUGCCUGUAAGACUGGGAUAACUCCGGGAAACCGGGGCUAAUACCGGAUGGUUGUUUGAACCGCAUGGUUCAAACAUAAAAGGUGGCUUCGGCUACCACUUACAGAUGGACCCGCGGCGCAUUAGCUAGUUGGUGAGGUAACGGCUCACCAAGGCAACGAUGCGUAGCCGACCUGAGAGGGUGAUCGGCCACACUGGGACUGAGACACGGCCCAGACUCCUACGGGAGGCAGCAGUAGGGAAUCUUCCGCAAUGGACGAAAGUCUGACGGAGCAACGCCGCGUGAGUGAUGAAGGUUUUCGGAUCGUAAAGCUCUGUUGUUAGGGAAGAACAAGUACCGUUCGAAUAGGGCGGUACCUUGACGGUACCUAACCAGAAAGCCACGGCUAACUACGUGCCAGCAGCCGCGGUAAUACGUAGGUGGCAAGCGUUGUCCGGAAUUAUUGGGCGUAAAGGGCUCGCAGGCGGUUUCUUAAGUCUGAUGUGAAAGCCCCCGGCUCAACCGGGGAGGGUCAUUGGAAACUGGGGAACUUGAGUGCAGAAGAGGAGAGUGGAAUUCCACGUGUAGCGGUGAAAUGCGUAGAGAUGUGGAGGAACACCAGUGGCGAAGGCGACUCUCUGGUCUGUAACUGACGCUGAGGAGCGAAAGCGUGGGGAGCGAACAGGAUUAGAUACCCUGGUAGUCCACGCCGUAAACGAUGAGUGCUAAGUGU
rnacentral:rRNA from 1 species